ACUCUUUAGAUCCACAUGCAUAUGGGAAGGUCUGAGGCGCCUCUACUCAGAGAUUGAAUGAAAGUAAUUUCUGGAAGAACCAACAGCAAAUGUAGCCCCGUGGUGCCAGUCGAAGAUAUUGCAUCUAAGCAAAGGAGACUUAUAUCAUCAUGGACGCAUGAGAGGUUUCUGCGGCGUUGAAUCUAAGUACAAUGAGCGUGGCGAGCAUAAAAAUUUUCAAAGUAAUUUGAGGAUGUCAUUGCUCGUAACUCAAUUCAGACUACUCUUC
rnacentral:RNase_P_RNA from 1 species